GUCCAGAGCCAACCUCUCCAGCUGCUUUUUCUGUCCUCUGCUGUGAGUUCUGCAGCACCCAUUCUCCACAGAAACUACAGAAAUCCUCCUCUCUUCCGAGUGAAACUGGAAAUCUCAGAAGCACACCACACGGCGCGAGAGAGGGCUUUUCCCCGGCGGCUCUCCGUGAUUGGUACCUUGCUGGCUCAGCCCGCGGCCCCAGAGCCCAGCCGCAGCCCCGCCGGGCAGCGGGCGAGUACUAGCCACUCUGGGCUGAUGCUCCCCGGUACACCGCAGCUGCGGGGACACGGACCCAUCCUACCCAUCCUUCCCACCCUUCCCAUCCCCCACAGCCCAAGGGGGGCGGCAGAGCCUCCGCCUUGCCAAAAAUACUCUUCCAAAAUGUCAUUUAGGAGGAUCUAUAAUAACCAUUUAAUUUUCUGAA